GACGAACGCUGGCGGCGUGCUUAACACAUGCCAGUCGAACGGAAAGGCCCUGCUUGCAGGGUACUCGAGUGGCGAACGGGUGAGUAACACGUGGGUGAUCUGCCCUGCACUUCGGGAUAAGCCUGGGAAACUGGGUCUAAUACCGGAUAGGAGCCAUUUUUAGUGUGAUGGUUGGAAAGUUUUUUCGGUGUAGGAUGAGCUCGCGGCCUAUCAGCUUGUUGGUGGGGUAAUGGCCUACCAAGGCGGCGACGGGUAGCCGGCCUGAGAGGGUGGACGGCCACAUUGGGACUGAGAUACGGCCCAGACUCCUACGGGAGGCAGCAGCGGGGAAUAUUGCACAAUGGGCGCAAGCCUGAUGCAGCGACGCCGCGUGGGGGAUGACGGCCUUCGGGUUGUAAACUCCUUUCGCUAGGGACGAAGCUUUUUGUGACGGUACCUAGAUAAGAAGCACCGGCUAACUACGUG
rnacentral:rRNA from 1 species